GCCACCAUAGAUCAGCGGUUAGAUCGUCUGCCUGCGUUAAAUUGCGUAGCCGGAAGGACGAGGGUUCGAAUCCCAUCGGGUGGCU